ACGGUUGCACAGUCCAGCAACACGAGCCAGAGCCGACCAUGUAGGAGAGCUUCUAUCAAAGGCGGUUCCACUCUGGUUCUCUGUGGUGUCUGCUUCAUGGAUCUGGUUGUCGAACCACAUGUGGGCCACAGUCAUCCGGUUCUGGGUCAGGGUUCCAGUCUUGUCUGAGCAGAUGGUGGAA